rnacentral:rRNA from 1 species
GACGAACGCUGGCGGCGUGCCUAAUACAUGCAAGUAGGACGCAGUUGCGAACGGGUGAGUAACGCGUAGGUAACUACAUAUGAGAGGGGGAUAAAUAUUGGAAACGAUAGCUAAUACCGCAUACUAGUAGGUGGAGCUGCGUUGUGUUAGCUAGGAGGUCGGGUAAUGGCCUCCCUAGGCAACGAUACAUAUCCUAGUUGAUCAGGUGGUCGGCCACACUGGGAACUGGACACGGCCCCGACUCCUACGGGAGGCAGCAGUAGGGAAUCAUCGGAAAUGGGGGGAACCCUGACCAAGGAACGCCGCGGUAUUGAAGAAGGGUUUCCGAUCGUAAAGCUCUUUUGUGAAGGAAGCGUUACUUAACCAGAAAGGGACGGCUAACUACGUGCCAGCAGCCGCGGUAAUUC